rnacentral:rRNA from 1 species
AACCUGCCUUUCAGAGGGGGACAACAGCUGGAAACGACUGCUAAUACCGCAUGACGCAUUCGGAUGGCAUCAUCUGAAUGCCAAAGAAUUUAUCGCUGAAAGAUGGCCUCGCGUCUGAUUAGAUAGUUGGCGGGGUAACGGGCCCACCAAGUCGACGAUCAGUAGCCGGACUGAGAGGUUGACCGGCCACAUUGGGACUGAGAUACGGCCCAG